rnacentral:rRNA from 1 species
AUUGAACGCUGGCGGCAUGCUUUACACAUGCAAGUCGAACGGUAACAGGUUAAGCUGACGAGUGGCGAACGGGUGAGUAAUGCAUCGGAACGUGCCCGAUCGUGGGGGAUAACGCAGCGAAAGCUGCGCUAAUACCGCAUACGAUCUGAGGAUGAAAGCGGGGGACCGUAAGGCCUCGCGCGAUCGGAGCGGCCGAUGUCAGAUUAGGUAGUUGGUGGGGUAAAGGCUCACCAAGCCAACGAUCUGUAGCUGGUCUGAGAGGACGACCAGCCACACUGGGACUGAGACACGGCCCAGACUCCUACGGGAGGCAGCAGUGGGGAAUUUUGGACAAUGGGCGAAAGCCUGAUCCAGCAAUGCCGCGUGCAGGAAGAAGGCCUUCGGGUUGUAAACUGCCUUUGUACGGAGCGAAAAGGUCUCCUCUAAUACAGGGGGCUCAUGACGGUACCGUAAGAAUAAGCACCGGCUAACUACGUGCCAGCAGCCGCCGUAA